UGUGUGCCUGUACCUGUGUGCGUGUGUAUGUGUGUGCACACGCAUACAUACACACACACACACACACACACACACACACACACACACACACA
rnacentral:miRNA from 1 species